UACGAAGGGGGCUAGCGUUGCUCGGAAUCACUGGGCGUAAAGGGUGCGUAGGCGGGUCUUUUAAGUCAGGGGUGAAAUCCUGGAGCUCAACUCCAGAACUGCCUUUGAUACUGAGGAUCUUGAGUACGGGAGAGGUGAGUGGAACUGCGAGUGUAGAGGUGAAAUUCGUAGAUAUUCGCAAGAACACCAGUGGCGAAGGCGGCUCACUGGCCCGUAACUGACGCUGAGGCACGAAGGCGCGGGGAGCAAACAGG
rnacentral:rRNA from 1 species